rnacentral:rRNA from 1 species
AGGGUUUGAUCAUGGCUCAGAUUGAACGCUGGUGGUAUGCUUAACACAUGCAAGUCGAACGAUCUAAACGCCAUAUUGUUAUUUUUGAUUUAUUUUAGAUAACAACAUGGCGUUUAGAUAGUGGCGGACGGGUGAGUAACGCGUAGGAAUCUACCAAGUAGUGGGGGAUAGCCCGGAGAAAUCCGGAUUAAUACCGCAUACGCCCUACGGGGGAAAGGAGGGGAUCUUCGGACCUUUCGCUAUUUGAUGAGCCUGCGUGAGAUUAGCUAGUUGGUGGGGUAAAGGCUCACCAAGGCGACGAUCUCUAGCUGGUUUGAGAGGAUGACCAGCCACACUGGGACUGAGACACGGCCCAGACUCCUACGGGAGGCAGCAGUGGGGAAUAUUGCACAAUGGGCGCAAGCCUGAUGCAGCCAUGCCGCGUGUGUGAAGAAGGCCUUCGGGUUGUAAAGCACUUUCAGCGAGGAGGAAAGGAAUGCGGUUAAUACCCGUGUUCUGUGACGUUACUCGCAGAAGAAGCACCGGCUAACUCCGUGCCAGCCGCCGCGGUAAUAC